CAGUCGCCACGGGAAUACGGAGGGAGCUAGCGUUGUUCGGAAUUACUGGGCGUAAAGCGCGCGUAGGCGGUUACUUAAGUCAGAGGUGAAAGCCCGGGGCUCAACCCCGGAACUGCCUUUGAAACUAGGUGACUAGAAUCUUGGAGAGGUCAGUGGAAUUCCGAGUGUAGAGGUGAAAUUCGUAGAUAUUCGGAAGAACACCAGUGGCGAAGGCGACUGACUGGACAAGUAUUGACGCUGAGGUGCGAAAGCGUGGGGAGCAAACAGGAUUAGAUACCCGCGUAGUCCCUGUCUCUUAUAC
rnacentral:rRNA from 1 species